ACGUACACUCCUACGGGAGGCAGCAGUGGGGAAUAUUGGACAAUGGGCGCAAGCCUGAUCCAGCCAUGCCGCGUGAGUGAUGAAGGCCCUAGGGUUGUAAAGCUCUUUCACCGGUGAAGAUAAUGACGGUAACCGGAGAAGAAGCCCCGGCUAACUUCGUGCCAGCAGCCGCGGUAAUACGAAGGGGGCUAGCGUUGUUCGGAUUUACUGGGCGUAAAGCGCACGUAGGCGGACUAUUAAGUCAGGGGUGAAAUCCCGGGGCUCAACCCCGGAACUGCCUUUGAUACUGGUAGUCUUGAGUUCGAGAGAGGUGAGUGGAAUUCCGAGUGUAGAGGUGAAAUUCGUAGAUAUUCGGAGGAACACCAGUGGCGAAGGCGGCUCACUGGCUCGAUACUGACGCUGAGGUGCGAAAGCGUGGGGAGCAAACAGGAUUAGAAACCCCAGUAGCC
rnacentral:rRNA from 1 species